UACGUAGGGGGCAAGCGUUGUCCGGAAUCAUUGGGCGUAAAGAGCGUGUAGGCGGCCUGGUAAGUCCGCUGUGAAAGUCCAGGGCUCAACCCUGGAAUGCCGGUGGAAACUGUCAGGCUCGAGUCCGGAAGAGGCGAGUGGAAUUCCUGGUGUAGCGGUGAAAUGCGCAGAUAUCAGGAGGAACACCAAUGGCGAAGGCAGCUCGCUGGGUCGGUACUGACGCUGAGACGCGAAAGCGUGGGGAGCAAACAGG
rnacentral:rRNA from 1 species